rnacentral:rRNA from 1 species
AUUGAACGCUGGCGGCAUGCCUUACACACGCAAGUCGAACGGCAGCACGGGAGCAAUCCUGGUGGCGAGUGGCGAACGGGUGAGUAAAGUAUCGGAACGUGCCCAGUCGUGGGGGAUAACGUAGCGAAAGUUACGCUAAUACCGCAUACGAUCUAUGGAUGAAAGCGGGGGAUCGCAAGACCUCGCGCGAUUGGAGCGGCCGAUAUCAGAUUAGGUAGUUGGUGGGGUAAAGGCCCACCAAGCCGACGAUCUGUAGCUGGUCUGAGAGGACGACCAGCCACACUGGGACUGAGAAACGGCCCAGACUCCUACGGGAGGCAGCAGUGGGGAAUUUUGGACAAUGGGCGAAAGCCUGAUCCAGCCAUGCCGCGUGCAGGAUGAAGGCCUUCGGGUUGUAAACUGCUUUUGUACGGAACGAAAAGGACUGCCCUAAUACGGUGGUCCCAUGACGGUACCGUAAGAAUAAGCACCGGCUAACUACGUGCCAGCAGCCGCCGUAA